UUUGUACAUCUUUUAUUUUCUGUAAAUAAUGGCUUUUCUUUCCUGUUAUUGUGUCAACCUCCAGUUCUGUGUCGACAUCGUCGUCAAUAUCAACAUCAUCAAGUGUGUCCACUUCAUCAAGUGUGUCUACUUCAAGUUCUGUGUCGACAUCAUCGUCAGUAUCAACAUCAUCAAGUGUGUCCACUUCAUCAAGUUUGUCGACAUCAAGU